GGGGUUAUUUUGUUUUUUAGAUUUUAUUAGAAGGAAAGUUCAUUAACCAAUCGAAGAUAAAAUUUUCUAGGUGGGCAAGGCAAAUAGAGCAAGACCAAGAGGGCAUUACAUGGUAAAUGUAUUUUUAAUGGUUAAAUUGUCCAUAAAAAUGGUUUUCUGUAGCUUUCAUUCUGUUCCAAUAUUAUCUAUGAUAAUAACAGUAGCUUCAAAAAACAAUGCAAUGAUGCAUGACUGCAUAGAAAAUGUUCAAAGUAUAUUAAAAUUUAGUAUGAGUUAUUUAGCAUCUAAUUUUGUCCCCAUCCUCACUUUAUAAGUUUAUUUGUUGAGAACUGGAAACUGACUUUGGUUCAUGAUCUGGAAAAUCCUGCAGUACCAAAGAGUCAAACCCUUGAUAUAGUGACUGGCUGAGAACAACUUUAAAGUCGAGCUGGAAUGCUCUGGAUAGUGUAUAGUACUUCUUGCUAUCACUUUAAUUAAUUUCUAUUCAGUUUGAAAUCUAUUAGCACUAAAACUAUUGGUGUCAGGGAAAAAAGGAUUUAGAUUGUUACCUAAAGUUAGAUCAAGUCUAAGUAGGACGAAUCUCUAAAGUGCAUGUUAAAAACUUUUACUAAGAACUAGAGCAAUUAAAUCUAUCUUAAAAUUUUGAGUGUCUGCUUUGUGGUUUUCUUUUUCCUUCUAGUGCUCAAAAGAAUUCUUUAGAUUUGAAGGUCCGAUUGUUUUAAAAGAAAUAGAAUGGUUUAACAUUGUUUAUCCACUUCUCUGGCCACAUCCAUGAGGUGUUGGAAUAAUCAUCUUUUGAGAUGUAAGUUGGAAUCUCAAAGCCCAACUCCAAGUUACCACGGCAAUAAAUCAGCAAUUCGGUACAUGUCAAAUGCUUGGGCUUCACAUAGGACACAACACAGACUUCAAGGACAGUAAAUUGUCAAACACUUACAUGACAUGGUCCAACAUAAUUCAUGGCCAUGCACAUAAGCCAAGUGAGGGGGGGAGAGGGGAGGCAAAUUUGUACAAGCAAUCAUAGGAUGAGAACAGGAAAGCAAGAUCAGAGGCAGGAGAAACGCCGGGAGGCGAGGGGGAGAAGACUGCAGAGAGAGAGAGAGAGAGAGAGAGAGAGAGAGAGAGAGA
rnacentral:lncRNA from 1 species